GGGUUUAACUCCUGGAUGUUACCGUUUCGCCCGAUGGACUGGGCGGCGUUUUGGUGUCUGACUCGGUAACCGAAUCGGGAGCACCAUCUGCGUAGGCUGGGGUUUCCCCGGUUUAAGACUUGCGUCCCCUACGGUCUUGGACAGCCCCCGCCAGGCAGGGACCCCAAUCUUGACGCCGCGCCCGAAGGCACAGCGA
rfam:Pseudomonas oryzihabitans strain TSDA-ARS-TSMARC-56511, complete genome.